GACGAACGCUGGCGGCGUGCUUAACACAUGCAAGUCGAACGAGUGGCGAACGGGUGAGUAACGCGUAGGUAACUACCUAUUAGAGGGGGAUAACUAUUGGAAACGAUAGCUAAUACCGCAUACUAGUAGAUGGACCUGCGUUGUAGUAGCUAGUAGGUAGGGUAAAGGCCUACCUAGGCAACGAUACAUAGCCGACCUGAGAGGGGGAUCGGCCACACUGGGACUGAGACACGGCCCAGACUCCUACGGGAGGCAGCAGUAGGGAAUCUUCGGCAAUGGGGGGAACCCUGACCGAGCAACGCCGCGUGAGUGAAGAAGGUUUUCGGAUCGUAAAACUCUGUUAUUAGGGAAGCGGUACCUAAUCAGAAAGCCACGGCUAACUACGUGCCAGCAGCCGCGGUAAUUC
rnacentral:rRNA from 1 species